rnacentral:rRNA from 1 species
AUGGAGCCGGCCGGAGACUCUUCCCUGGAGGCCGCGAUUGCAUGGCUGGUGCAGACCAUCUUUGCGACUCUCCUGAUGGACAAGAUGGAAGCCUGGAUUCAACAAGUCGGGCUUGCCGAUGACGUCGAGAGGCUCCAGCGCGAGGUGGAGAGAGUCGAGAUGGUGGUGGCCGCUGUGAAGGGUAGGGCGGCCGGGAACAGGGCUCUCGCUCGUCUCAAGGAACUUCUCUACGACGCCGACGACGUGGUGGACGAACUGGACUACUACAGGCUCCAACAGCAAGUCGAAGGAGGCACAGUUACAAGAGUCGAUGAGAUAUCAAGGGGCGAUGCUGAUACACCGCAGAGCAGUGUUGGCAAAUUACGGUCCGUGGUCUGGGGAAACUUUACGAUCACACAAAAGGUUGACGGAAAGCCCGUCAAAGCAGCAUGUAGACACUGUGGCAAUGAGUUCAAGUGCGAUACGAAGACCAACGGCACAUCAUCUAUGAAAAAACAUUUGAGGAUGGAGCAUCCCGAUAAGAUGAAACCUCCUGGAGCGCUUGCUCCAAACCCUUCACGCACCGGUGAUGCUACUGGAAAUGAGAUGCCGGUUGAAGUUGGCAGUUCGUCCAACAGAAAAGGAAAGAGAACGAAUGAGGAGCCAGCACAAACCAUGGAACACACCCGAUGGGACAAGGCUGAGUUAUCUAAUAGAAUAAAUAAAAUUACUGACCAGUUACUGGGCAUCCUAGGGGCUUUGCGUAAAGUUCUGGAGCCACAUGAAUCUAGCUCAGCUUCAAAUUCAAAUCAUCACCACCUGAGUACAGCAACGGAUCAGCACCCAACAUCAUCAAGUCUUGUUCCAAAGGAAGUUUAUGGCAGAGUUGCAGAAAAGAACAAGAUCGAAAAGUCAAUAACUGAAAACCAGUCUGGUGGUGUAAAUGUUCUGCCUAUUGUAGGCAUUGCAGGUGUUGGAAAGACAACUCUCGCUCAAUUUGUGUAUAAUGAUCCAGACGUGAAAUGUCAAUUUCACCACAGAAUAUGGGUUUGUGUGUCCCACAACUUUGAUGAAGUGAAGCUCACAAAGGAGCUGUUAGACUUUUUUCCUCGAGAAAGGCAUGAAGGAAUUAGCAACUUCGCGAAGCUUCAAGAGAUCUUGAAAGAACAUGUUGAGUACCAAUCAAAGAGUUUUCUGCUUGUUUUAGAUGAUGUCUCGGACAGUAUGGAUUAUCAUAAAUGGAACAAAUUGUUGAACCCUUUUCUAUCAAGUCAAGCGAAGAAUAUAAUUUUAGUCACGACCAGAAAUUUGUCUGUUGCACAAAGGUUAAGCACACUUGAACCGAUCAAGUUAGGUGCUUUAGAAAACGAUGAUAUGUGGUUAUUACUCAAGUCAUGUGCAUUUGGUUUUGGGAACUAUGAAGGUACGGAAAAUCUAAGCAUUAUUGGAAGACAAAUAGCAGAGAAGUUAAAGGGCAACCCGUUAGCAGCAGUAACUGCAGGGGCACUGUUAAGAGUUAAUCUUAGCAUUGAUCAUUGGAGUAACAUUCUCAAGAAUGAGAAGUGGAAAUCGCUGGGACUCAGUGGGGGCAUCAUGUCUGCUUUGAAGCUUAGCUAUGAUGAGCUGCCGUACCAUUUACAACAAUGUGUCUCAUAUUGUUCUAUAUUUCCUGAAAAAUAUAGGUUUCUUGGGAAGGAUGUGAGAUUAGAAGAGAUAGGAUGGGAAUGUCUAAAUGAUUUGGUGAACCUGGGAUUCUUUCAGCAUGUUGAAGAGGAAAAGGACGAGGACGAGGAUGAGGAUGAGGAAGAGGAAGAGGAAGAAGAAACUUUUUUAGGCAAUAAAAUUUGGUAUUCUAUGUCUGGUAUCAUGCACGAUUUUGCAAGGAUGGUUUCAAGGACCGAGUGUGCAACCAUGGAUGGUCUACAGUGUAAUAAUAUGCUACCAACUAUACGUCAUUUGUCAAUUGUGACCAAUUCUGCAUAUAGCAAAGAUCAACAUGGAACCAUACCUCGCAAUAUCAAGUUUGAAGAAAAUCUGAGAAAUACAAUUGCAUCAGUGAGGAAACUAAGGACAUUAGUUUUACUUGGGCACUAUGACUCUUUCUUCUUUAAAUUGUUCCUUGAUAUAUUCCAAAAGGGACAGAACUUGCGUCUUCUGCAAAUUUCUACAACAUGUGCUGAUUUUAAUUCCCUUGUGUGCCGUUUGGUAAAUCCUGCACAUCUUCGCUAUCUAAAAUGUCAGCCUGAUGAGGUGGAUGAGGUUUUCCCUCAAAUUUUGAGCAAGUUGUACCAUCUUCAAAUAUUAGAUGUUGGCUUAUACACUGGUCCUAUACUUGAUGGUAAUAAUAAUCUAGUUAGCCUGCGGCAUCUUGUUCCAGAAAAUGGAGUAUACUCCAUUGCUGGCAUUGGUAGCAUGACAUCACUUCAAGAGCUACAUGAUUUUAAAGUUCAAUUUUGUUCUAGCGACUUUGACAUAUCACAGCUCCAAUCCAUGAACGAGCUUGUACAACUUGGGGUGUCUCGACUUGAUACUGUUAAAACUCAGGCGGAGGCUUAUGGAGCAGGACUGAGAAACAAAGAAUACUUGAAAACUCUGCACUUGUCCUGGAAGGAUACCUUAUCAGAUGAGGAAUACGACACUAGUUCUGAAUCUUCUGCAGACAAAACAAGAAAGGUGCUUGAGGGGCUUGAACCUCAUAUGAACUUAAAGCAUCUACAUAUAUCUGGGUAUAAUGGUACUACUUCACCAAGUUGGCUUGGCAACAAUAUCUCCAUUACCUCCUUGCAGACACUUCAUCUUGAUGAUUGUGGGGGAUGGAGAAUACUUCCAUCUCUGGGAAGUCUUCCAUUUCUUGCAAAGUUGAAGUUGAGCAGCAUGUGGGAAGUAAUAGAAAUAUUGGUUCCUUCACUGGAGGAGCUAGUUUUAAUUAAGAUGCCGAAGUUAGUGAAGUGCUCAAGCACUUCUGUGGAUGGUCUGAGCUCUAGCUUAAGGGUACUGCAGAUCGAGAAGUGUCAAGCAUUGAAGGCGUUUGAUCUGUUUGAGAAUGAUGAUAAUUUUGAAAUCAUGCAGGGGUCAUGGCUGCCAGGUAUUAGGAAUUUAAUUCUGCAUUAUUUCCCUCAUUUUAAAGUGUUGAAGCCUCUUCCACCCUCAACCAUCUUUUCUAAGUUACGCAUUAGUGGAGUUCCAACACUUCCAUAUAUGGAGGGAUCAUCUAGUGAAAAGUUAUGUAUUGGGUAUCUUGAUGAGGUUGUAUACAAUGGUUUUGAUGAAUCUGCCGAUGGGUUGAGGAUACUCGAUGACAAAAUUUUGAUGUUCCAUAAUCUGAGCAAUCUCAAAUCGAUGAUGAUAUGUGCUUGCCGUAAUUUAAGUUCUAUUUCAUUCAAAGGUUUUAGUUAUCUCGUCUCUUUAACAAGCUUGGAAAUAAGAAAAUGUGGAAAUGAGAUGCCAGAGCAUACCCAUGAUGACGUGCCAGAUGAAAAGUGCUACGCAUUCCCCUCUCUUGAAAGUCUCUGUAUUCACGAAUGUGGAAUAGCUGGGAAGUGGCUAUCCCUGAUGCUGCAACAUGCACCAUGCCUAGACAAAUUGAAUUUAAGAUAUUGCGAACAUAUAACAACAGUACUGCUACCGACGGAAGAGGAAGCAAACAGUCGAUCAAAUCUUAUUUCAGCAAGGUUAGCUCGAGAUGGACUCUUGCACAUUCCAUCAAAUGUUGUCUCCUCUCUGAAGAAGAUAACUAUUCAGCACUGCCCUCGGCUAACAUUUAACGGGGCCAAAGAAUGCUUCUCUGGAUUUACCUCCCUUGAGAAGCUAAUCAUUUCGGACUGCCCCGACCUGUUCUCGUCAUUGCUCUGCUUCCCUAGAGAUAUCACCAGCCUUAAAAAGUUAAAUGUUAAUGACAGCCCAGGUUUUCAAUCUCUACAGCUGCACUCAUGCACGGCACUGGAAGAAUUGGUAAUUUCUGGCUGUGGAUCGCUGACCAUCACUGCACUAGAGGGCAUGCAACCCCUUGGCAGCCUCAGGCGUUUUAAUGUAUCAGACUGUCCUGGCUCGCCACCAUGUUUGGAGAGCUUUUCAACGCUGUGCCCUCGGCUGGAAACGCUCAAGAUCGAUGACCCAUCUGUCCUUACCAUGUCAUUCUGCAAGCACCUCACCUCCCUGGAACACCUACAAUUUUAUAGUUUGGAGAAAGUGAUGAGACUAACAGAUGAGCAAGAGCGAGAGCUUGUGCUCCUCAAGUCACUGCAAAAGCUCGAGAUUUAUUAUUGUUUUGAUCUCAUAGAUCUUCCUGCUGGGCUGCACACCAUUCCUUCCCUCAAGAGGUUACACAUAUGGGAUUGUCCGGGCAUCUCAAGGCUGCCGGAAGCAGGCCUCCCAUUUUCGCUGGAAGAACUGGAAAUCAAUCAUUGCAGCAAGGAACUAGCUGAUCAAUGCAGUCUGCUUGAAACAAGCAAGCGAAAAGUCAAAAUUACUUGA